rnacentral:rRNA from 1 species
UCAGGAUGAGCGCUAGCGGCAGGCUUAACACAUGCAAGUCGAGGGGCAUCGGGAGUAGCAAUACUUGCCGGCGACCGGCGCAAGGGUGCGUAACGCGUGAGCAACAUGCCCGUAUCAGGGGGAUAAUCCAUGGAAACGUGGUCUAAUACCCCAUAGUAAUUAUGUAAGGCAUCUUAUAUAAUUUAAAGCUUUGGUGGAUACGGAUUGGCUCGCGUGACAUUAGCUAGAUGGUAAGGUAACGGCUUACCAUGGCUACGAUGUCUAGGGGUUCUGAGAGGAAGGUCCCCCACACUGGAACUGAGACACGGUCCAGACUCCUACGGGAGGCAGCAGUGAGGAAUAUUGGACAAUGGAUGGAAAUCUGAUCCAGCCAUGCCCGCGUGCAGGAAGACGGCCCUAUGGGUUGUAAACUUCUUUUAUAAGGGAAUAAAGUGAGGGACGUGUCCCUUUUUGUAUGUACCUUAUGAAUAAGGAUCGGCUAACUCCGUGCCAGCAGCAGC